rnacentral:rRNA from 1 species
GAUGAACGCUGGCGGCGUGCUUAACACAUGCAAGUCGAACGGAAAGGCUCCUGCUUGCAGGGGUACUCGAGUGGCGAACGGGUGAGUAACACGUGGGUGAUCUGCCCUGCACUUCGGGAUAAGCCCGGGAAACUGGGUCUAAUACCGGAUAGGACCACAUUUUGGAUGGUGUGGUGGAAAGGUUUUCGGUGUGGGAUGAGCUCGCGGCCUAUCAGCUUGUUGGUGGGGUAAUGGCCUACCAAGGCGUCGACGGGUAGCCGGCCUGAGAGGGUGUACGGCCACAUUGGGACUGAGAUACGGCCCAGACUCCUACGGGAGGCAGCAGUGGGGAAUAUUGCACAAUGGGCGCAAGCCUGAUGCAGCGACGCCGCGUGGGGGAUGACGGCCUUCGGGUUGUAAACUCCUUUCGCUAGGGACGAAGCGCAAGUGACGGUACCUGGAGAAGAAGCACCGGCUAACUACGUG